GGACGGGGAUAACCUCGGGAAACUGAGGAUAAACCCCGAUAGAUCAUUAUACCUGGAACGGUUUAUGGUCCAAAUGAUUCGUCGCCGUAGGGUGGGACUGCGGCCUAUCAGCUUGUUGGUGAGGUAAUGGCCCACCAAGGCUAUUACAGGUACGGGCUCUGAGAGGAGAAGCCCGGAGAUGGGUACUGAGACACGGACCCAGGCCCUAUGGGGCGCAGCAGGCGAGAAACCUUUGCAAUGUGCGCAAGCACGACAAGGUUAAUCCGAGUGUUUCCUGCUAAAGGAAUCUUUUGUUAGUUCUAAAACCACUGAUGAAUAAGGGGUGGGCAAGUUCUGGUGUCAGCCGCCGCGGUAAAACCAGCACCUCAAGUGGUCAGGAUGAUUAUUGGGCCUAAAGCAUCCGUAGCCUGUUCUGUAAGUUUCCGGUUAAAUCCAUUAGCUCAACUAAUGGGCUGCCGAAAAUACUGCAGAACUAGGGAGUGGGAGAGGUAGACGGUACUCGGUAGGAAGGGGUAAAAUCCUUUGAUCUAUUGAUGACCACCUGUGGCGAAGGCGGUCUACCAGAACACGUUCGACGGUGAGGGAUGAAAGCUGGGGGAGCAAACCGGAUUAGAUACCCGGGUAGUCCCAGCUGUAAACGAUGCAGACUCGGUGAUGCCCUGGCUUGUGGCCAGUGCAGUGCCGCAGGGAAGCCGUUAAGUUUGCCGCCUGGGAAGUACGUACGCAAGUAUGAAACUUAAA
rnacentral:rRNA from 1 species